rnacentral:tRNA from 1 species
GCGGAUGUGGUGGAAUUGGUAGACACGCCAGAUUUAGGUUCUGGUGCCGCAAGGCGUGGGGGUUCGAGUCCCUUCAUCCGCACCA